rnacentral:lncRNA from 1 species
UAGGAUUUGGUUAGGGUUUGAUUUAGGAUUUGAUUUAGGAUUUGGAUUAGGAUUUGGAUUAGGAUUUAGGAUUUGGUUUAGGAUUUGAUUUAAGAUUUGGAUUAGGGUUUGGAUUAGGAUUUAGGAUUUGGUUUAGGAUUUGAUUUAGGGUUUGGAUUAGGGUUUGGAUUAGGAUUUAGGAUUUGAUUAGGGUUUGAUUUAGGGUUUGGAUUAGGAUUUGAUUAGGGUUUGAUUUAAAGUUUGGUUUAGGAUUUAGGGUUUGGAUUAGGGUUUAGGAUUGAUUUAGAAUUUGAUUUAGAAUUUAGGGUUUGAAUCAGGGUUUAGGAUUUGGUUAGGAUUUGAUUUAGGAUUUGGAUUAGGAUUUAGGAUUGAUUUAGGGUUUGAUUUAGAGUUUAGGGUUUGAAUUAGGGUUUAGGGUUUGGUUAGGGUUUGAUUUAGGAUUUAGAUUAGGAUUUGAUUUAAGGUUUGGUUUAGGAUUUAGGGUUUGGAUUAGGGUUUAGGAUUGGAUUAGAGUUUGAAUUAAGGUUUAGGAUUUGAUUUAGGGUUUGAUUUAGGAUUUGGUUUAGGAUUUAGGAUUUGAAAUAGAGUUUGAAUUAGGGUUUAAUUUAAGGUUUGUUUAGUAUUUGACUUAGGAUUUAGGAUUUAUUAGGAUUUAUUAGGAUUUAAGAUUUAAUUAGGUUUGGUCUAAAGUUUGAGUGAAAUUCAAUAGGGUUUUAACUAGAAUUAAAUUAAGGUUGAAUUGACAUAUAUUUGAGUAAUAUUUGUGAUCAUUCUAAUAUUUCUUUAAGAAUUUUAUUGUUUGUUUGAAAUUUCUUUGAGUUGUUUUGAAUUUGAUUACGUUUGUUUACCAUUAUUAUAGUCUAAUUAGAGCAUUGUUAGUAUUCUAUUAGAAUUAGGAUUUUGUUAUCGCAAUUUCUAUUCUUUCUUCUACAGCCAGGUGCCCGGAGCAUUCU